AGCUGCAGGGGGUGAGGGGAAGAGCAGGGACAGUGAGGACGGCCUAGGGUCUGGUGGCCACAGUAGGCAAAGAGGACAGACCGUUUCCAAGGUCAGUCAGGAAACGGGGAGCCAGGAGGGCUGAGGAGGCCCAGGGCCUGACUCCAGGGGAUUUGGUUGCCAUCCCACAGGUCCGGAAGAGCCCUGGGAGGAGUCCAGGCAGGGCUGAAGCUGGAAGGGGUGAGAGGGGCUGGUGCUCGAGGACCUCAGCCACUGGCCAGGUUGUCCCAUCACCGUGUCUAAUCUGUAUGUCAUCGGAGACAACAGCAUGUUUUGCUGUCGCUCUGGUUCCAGAGAUUCUGCUCAGCCGAGGUUCCAGCGUUCUGAUGAAGAAGGUCAGAAAGAGGCUUCCAGUCACCAGGAGACUCCUGGGAAGGGCUUGGGCUGGGAGUGGGACACGGGUGGGGUCGGGUGGAAGAGGACCAGGCGGGCCCAGGAUGGAUGGAUGAGGCUGGGUCCCAAGCUACAGGCCUAGAGCUGUUAGGGGACCCAACAGACCCCCAGCCUCCAUUCCCCCUGCUGG
rnacentral:lncRNA from 1 species